rnacentral:rRNA from 1 species
GACGAACGCUGGCGGCGUGCCUAAUACAUGCAAGUCGAGCGGGGAUUAUGCUUGAUCGCUUCGGUGAGACGGCAGAUAUCCUAGCGGCGGACGGGUGAGUAACGCGUGGGUAAUCUACCUCGUAGUUCGGGAUAACAGGCCGAAAGGCUUGCUAAUACCGGAUGAGUUCAUGCUUAUGCAUAUAGGCAUGAAGAAAGGGCUAGCCCGCUAUGAGAUGAGCCCGCGUCCCAUUAGCUUGUUGGUGGGGUAACGGCCUACCAAGGCAACGAUGGGUAGCCGGCCUGAGAGGGUGUACGGCCACACUGGGACUGAGACACGGCCCAGACUCCUACGGGGGGGCAGCAGUAGGGAAUUUUCGGCAAUGGGCGAAAGCCUGACCGAGCGACGCCGCGUGAGGGACGAAGGCCUUCGGGUUGUAAACCUCUGUCGUGGGGGAGUGGAGGAACGGACCGGGUACCCCGGACGGGAACGCCCCGGCUAACUACGUG